rnacentral:rRNA from 2 species
AGUCGAGCGAAUGGAUUAAGAGCUUGCUCUUAUGAAGUUAGCGGCGGACGGGUGAGUAACACGUGGGUAACCUGCCCAUAAGACUGGGAUAACUCCGGGAAACCGGGGCUAAUACCGGAUAACAUUUUGAACCGCAUGGUUCGAAAUUGAAAGGCGGCUUCGGCUGUCACUUAUGGAUGGACCCGCGUCGCAUUAGCUAGUUGGUGAGGUAACGGCUCACCAAGGCAACGAUGCGUAGCCGACCUGAGAGGGUGAUCGGCCACACUGGGACUGAGACACGGCCCAGACUCCUACGGGAGGCAGCAGU